rnacentral:rRNA from 1 species
CGUGCGGCAGCUACACAUGCAGUCGAGCGGUAGCACAGAAGAGCUUGCUCUUUGGGUGACGAGCGGCGGACGGGUGAGUAAUGUCUGGGAAACUGCCUGAUGGAGGGGGAUAACUACUGGAAACGGUAGCUAAUACCGCAUAACCUCGCAAGAGCAAAGAGGGGGACCUUCGGGCCUCUCGCCAUCAGAUGUGCCCAGAUGGGAUUAGCUAGUAGGUGAGGUAAUGGCUCACCUAGGCGACGAUCCCUAGCUGGUCUGAGAGGAUGACCAGCCACACUGGAACUGAGACACGGUCCAGACUCCUACGGGAGGCAGCAGUGGGGAAUAUUGCACAAUGGGCGCAAGCCUGAUGCAGCCAUGCCGCGUGUGUGAAGAAGGCCUUCGGGUUGUAAAGCACUUUCAGCGGGGAGGAAGGCGGUGAGGUUAAUAACCUUAUCGAUUGACGUUACCCGCAGAAGAAGCACCGGCUAACUCCGUGCCAGCAGCCGCGGUAAUACGGAGGGUGCAAGCGUUAAUCGGAAUGACUGGGCGUAAAGCGCACGCAGGCGGUCUGUUAAGUUGGAUGUGAAAUCCCCGGGCUUAACCUGGGAACUGCAUUCAAAACUGACAGGCUAGAGUCUUGUAGAGGGGGGUAGAAUUCCAGGUGUAGCGGUGAAAUGCGUAGAGAUCUGGAGGAAUACCGGUGGCGAAGGCGGCCCCCUGGACAAAGACUGACGCUCAGGUGCGAAAGCGUGGGGGAGCAAACAGGAUUAGAUACCCUGGUAGUCCACGCUGUAAACGAUGUCGAUUUGGAGGUUGUGCCCUUGAGGCGUGGCUUCCGGAGCUAACGCGUUAAAUCGACCGCCUGGGGAGUACGGCCGCAAGGUUAAAACUCAAAUGAAUUGACGGGGGCCCGCACAAGCGGUGGAGCAUGUGGUUUAAUUCGAUGCAACGCGAAGAACCUUACCUACUCUUGACAUCCAGAGAACUUAGCAGAGAUGCUUUGGUGCCUUCGGGAACUCUGAGACAGGUGCUGCAUGGCUGUCGUCAGCUCGUGUUGUGAAAUGUUGGGUUAAGUCCCGCAACGAGCGCAACCCUUAUCCUUUGUUGCCAGCGAUUCGGUCGGGAACUCAAAGGAGACUGCCGGUGAUAAACCGGAGGAAGGUGGGGAUGACGUCAAGUCAUCAUGGCCCUUACGAGUAGGGCUACACACGUGCUACAAUGGCGUAUACAAAGAGAAGCGACCUCGCGAGAGCAAGCGGACCUCAUAAAGUACGUCGUAGUCCGGAUUGGAGUCUGCAACUCGACUCCAUGAAGUCGGAAUCGCUAGUAAUCGUAGAUCAGAAUGCUACGGUGAAUACGUUCCCGGGCCUUGUACACACCGCCCGUCACACCAUGGGAGUGGGUUGCAAAAGAAGUAGGUAGCUUAACCUUCGGGAGGGCGCUACCACUUGAUC